rnacentral:rRNA from 1 species
GCCAGCAGCCAUAUCACCCUGCAGCUCACAGCUGGCAGCCCCACUGCAGCUCAGCAGGUAAUCUAAUGUAAUGUAAUGUUUAUAAUGUUUUUUGUGAGCCCAAUCAGUACCUGGAUGGGAGACCUCCUGGGAAAAACUCAGGUUGCUGCUGGAA